rnacentral:lncRNA from 1 species
CAUUACUCUUCUGAAGCUGCAUCUUUUCUGGAUGCAUAUUCUCAUCAGUUUCCUCCGUAAGCUGCAAAGCCUUCUUGAUAAUGCUUUCUCUGGCUUCAAGGAUUUCACCAUCGUCCAAAUCUUCCUCACAUAGCCACCACGGCACUGCAUCCUUUUGCUUUGUUUCUUUUUUCCUGGGCUGUCCCAAUGCCUCAAGGACUCUGGACUUCUUUUCUGAAUUUCCAGGUGAAUCGUCUGAAAGAGACUCUUUCAGAAACUCUUCAAACUGCUCAUCUAAUUCUUCUUUUGUGCACCGAUGAGCCAUAAUCUGCAACUGGACGUUACCU